rnacentral:tRNA from 1 species
GAAAUAUAUGUUAAGCUUCUAACUUAAAAUACAGCAAUUUUGUUGAUAUUUCU